CCUACGGGAGGCAGCAGUGGGGAAUAUUGCACAAUGGCGGAAACCCUGAUGCAGCGACGCCGCGUGAGUGAAGAAGUUUUUCGGUAUGUAAAGCUCUAUCAGCCAGGAAGCAAAAAGACGGUACCUGACUUAGAAGCCCCGGCUAACUACGUGCCAGCAGCCGCGGUAAUACGGAGGGGGCAAGCGUUAUCCGGAUUUACUGGGUGUAAAGGGAGCGUAGACGGCUGUGUAAGUCUAAAGGGAAAGCCCAGGGCUCAACCCCGGGACUGCUUUUGAAACUGGGGGGCUAGAGAGCUGGAGAGGUAAGUGGAAUUCCUAGUGUAGCGGUGAAAUGCGUAGAUAUUAGGAGGAACACCAGUGGCGAAGGCGGCUUACUGGACAGUAACUGACGUUGAGGCUCGAAAGCGUGGGGAGCAAACAGGAUUAGAUACCCGGGUAGUC
rnacentral:rRNA from 1 species